UGACCAGGGCGCACAGGAAAAGGCCUCCCUCC
rnacentral:piRNA from 1 species